rnacentral:rRNA from 1 species
GAAUAUUGGGCAAUGGGCGGAAGCCUGACCCAGCCAUGCCGCGUGCAGGAAGACGGCGUUAUGCGUUGUAAACUGCUUUUAUACGGGAAGAAAAGGUCCAUGCGUGGAAAAUUGCCGGUACCGUAUGAAUAAGCACCGGCUAACUCCGUGCCAGCAGCCGCGGUAAUACGGAGGGUGCGAGCGUUGUCCGGAUUUAUUGGGUUUAAAGGGUGCGUAGGCGGCCCGAUAAGUCAGCGGUGAAAGUCAGUGGCUCAACCAUUGGAGUGCCGUUGAUACUGUUGGGCUUGAGUGCGGUCUGGGUACAUGGAAUUUAUGGUGUAGCGGUGAAAUGCAUAGAUACCAUAAGGAACACCGAUAGCGUAGGCAUUGUACUGGGCCGUAACUGACGCUGAGGCACGAAAGCGUGGGUAGCGAACAGG